UACCAUGCAGUCGAGCGGAGAUGAGGUGCUUGCACCUUAUCUUAGCGGCGGACGGGUGAGUAAUGCUUAGGAAUCUGCCUAUUAGUGGGGGACAACAUUCCGAAAGGAAUGCUAAUACCGCAUACGUCCUACGGGAGAAAGCAGGGGAUCUUCGGACCUUGCGCUAAUAGAUGAGCCUAAGUCGGAUUAGCUAGUUGGUGGGGUAAAGGCCUACCAAGGCGACGAUCUGUAGCGGGUCUGAGAGGAUGAUCCGCCACACUGGGACUGAGACACGGCCCAGACUCCUACGGGAGGCAGCAGUGGGGAAUAUUGGACAAUGGGGGGAACCCUGAUCCAGCCAUGCCGCGUGUGUGAAGAAGGCCUUAUGGUUGUAAAGCACUUUAAGCGAGGAGGAGGCUACUGAGACUAAUACUCUUGGAUAGUGGACGUUACUCGCAGAAUAAGCACCGGCUAACUCUGUGCCAGCAGCCGCGGUAAUACAGAGGGUGCGAGCGUUAAUCGGAUUUACUGGGCGUAAAGCGUGCGUAGGCGGCUUUUUAAGUCGGAUGUGAAAUCCCCGAGCUUAACUUGGGAAUUGCAUUCGAUACUGGGAAGCUAGAGUAUGGGAGAGGAUGGUAGAAUUCCAGGUGUAGCGGUGAAAUGCGUAGAGAUCUGGAGGAAU
rnacentral:rRNA from 1 species